AAUCUGUUUAAGGAUUGUUCUGUUCUUCCCUUGGUCCUGGAUGGCGAGUUUUCAGAAGUCCUGACAAAAUACCCUGAACAAAGGUCAACGAGCACCUUCAUGUGGCUCACCCCAGCAGAGUGCGGAGUGCAGUACCUGUUUUGAUUGUACCUGGCAUCCCGAGGAUACCUGAGUGGAAGACAAGUUUUCUUCAGAACAGUAA